UGGCUCAACGCACCCUCGAAAGCACUUGAACGUGGCGCCCAUUACUCGAGCUAGUGCUUUCUCCUGACGCUGCACUGUAGAAUCCAAUCAAAAAAAAAAAAUGCCGUCGUUUGCUGGUGCUGCAAGACUGCCACAAGCUAAUAGUUUUUUUUUCUUCUUCUUCUUGUUUUCUUGCUGAUCGAGCAUGCAAUGCAAGGCGGCGAAAGUAGCUACGUUUGCAGGUUCUCCCGGUCAAAGUGAUGAGG
rnacentral:lncRNA from 1 species